UUCUCUCCUCCCUCAGCAGCCCACGCUUUUACCAGUUCCUUUCUCCAGUCUCCUUGUCUCAUGGUGCCAGGAUUUGCUCCCGCCUUUGUUGUUCAUCUCCUUCCUGCUCAUGCAUCAGCCUCUCUGUUGGCUCGGGGUCGAUCGAUCUCCAUCCGGCUAGCUGCCUCUCUGGGUCGUUCAUCGUGGGACGACAUGGAGGCAAGCUGGCGAUUGAAGGAUUCAGAAAAGCUGGAUGUUUUCCUCUCUUUUAAGUUUGAUCCAGAUCAUUAGGAGAGGUUUACAACUAUUGCCCUUUUUAUUUUGUCCUAAAUCAUCGGCUUUCCUUUCUUGUAGUUUACAUGUGUGGUACAUGCCUGUUUCCAAUUCCGAGAUUGUUAAUUUCUUCUAUCUCCCUUGAAUGCAUAGAAAUGGCUAAAAAAACGUAGGAAUCCUGCUGGAAAUGAAGCAGCCCCUUCUUUGUUCGAUGUAGUCUAAUUGAUCAUCAAUCUGACAAUUAUUUAAUUACCUUGUGAUUGUUCAGUUUUGUCUACUUUUUAUGGCGAUAGGAAUUUGUAGAUGUGCACGCCACACACAUCUCCCUGUGACGGUAUUUUUGAAGUUUAGUUGUUGAGUUCUUAUCUGGACUAGUGUGCAACUGAAACGGAUAUAUCUGUAUCUCAUUUGGGAAAACUGACACGUACUUCAAAUUUCUGUUGCAAAUGGCCAGGUGUAGUGGAUACAAGCUUCAGUUACUACUUACCAAUAAUUUGUUUGACUGAGAAAUUUGAAUAAAAAUAAGCUAGGCCAUCAUCAGUCCAUCUGUUCUUUUUAUCCUCAAAUGUAUUUCCUAAUUAAGUGUAUUUCCACUGUUCUUAUUAGUUAUAACUGUUUCUUGUACUCAUCAUAUGCUUCUCAAAUAUCGUUUUCCACAAAAUCACUCUCUCUCUCUCUCUCUCUCUCUGAAUUGAAUUUGUAUAUGUGUGCUUGUCUAAUUUCUAAAUGGCUAUACAAAGUUACAGACACAAACAAUAUAAAUCAUAAUGUACUAUCAGACUACAACUCUGAUAUUUAUACUUGCAGUGGCAGUCGAUCCUAUCUGUAAGUGAGGCUUUCUACGAAAAUAGGUAUGCACGUUGAGGCAAACAAGCAUAUAAAGGAUUUCCACUUUUAUUUGGUACUAAGAUAUGAUGUAAUGUGGUUUCUCUAUGUUGUACCAUGCAUAUAUAGCAGCAGUUUCUGUCUUGA